rnacentral:lncRNA from 1 species
GCGAAAUCGAACAAAAAUAAGAGCGGCACUUUGUGAAAAACUGAAAAUAAGAGCGGCACUUCGUGAAAAUAGGAGCGGGUUAGGGUUCUCUCAUCUCAAAGGGGGGCAACAAAGUCUCUGACUCUCUCUCUCUCUCUCGUAAUUACACUCUUCAGGCGGCUGUUUAUCAGAUAUUUACACUCUUCAGGUGGUUUCAAUUAUUAUCUUCGAUUAAUUUGUUAGCUUCUCGGUGGACUUACAGGCUGUUCUGAUUCAAUUUGUUCAUCUGAUAUUUACAGGUUUUGGGUUUUUGUUAGCUUCUCGAUGGACUUCUUGGUUUUCUCUUCUCUCAGGUAUUUCUGGACUUCUCGGUUUACUCUUUGUGUAUAUGAUGUUUGGGGUUUGAUUAUUGAGGGUCUUGCUAGCUAUUUAGGGUCUUGCUAUUUAGGUUCUCUUUGUGAAUAUGUGAUGCUUUUUUUUGUACUCCAUCUGUAGUGGACACCGCGGGUUUUGGGUUUUUGUUUUUGUUACUGUGAAAGAUGGGAUUUGGCUGAAUGUUUGGUGUUUGUCUAAAAUAAAUUAGUGUUAUUUCUUAUUUCAUUUAAGAAUCCUAGUGUUUGGCUUGUUCUUUCUUGUGGAUUUAAGGAGCUUGAUUAUGAGAAUUUCUUGUUGGCAGCCUUCUUUUUUUACUAUACUUUGGUGUGUCAUUUAAUUUAGUUAUAUGCUAUUUCAAGGUCAUGUAUCAAUGUGCAUAGUUAGAGUUUUAUUUAAUUGAGUAACAGAAUGUGGAGAACUACCUUCACACUGUCUUGGAGAACUACCUUCACACUGUCUUGGAGUAUUACCAUAUUUGUGCUCAAAAAUUCUGCGUCUUCCUUGUAGCCUAUAUGUGUUUAUUCUUCACGUUUUUUUCCCGAGGCAGAUCAUGCUAACUUAUGGUUUUUGUGGAUGACUUGCUAUGUAGAUGAGGUAGCUUGGCAUGAAAGAAGAAGAGUAUGGGUUGGUGAUAUAUCACAAAGAUCAUAGAGUUUAAAAAGCAUAAGUAGCAGAGAGAAGAUCCUGAGGUAUGCAUAUAUUACAACUUCUAUUAAAGAUCCACUUACAGCCAGAAAUCAAACCGUUAUCCACUGCACUGAUUGCUAUGCUGCAAUUACUUUAUGUUGGAUGCUCUGAUUAACAUGUUUAAUGAGAUUUGGUCGUGAUAUUCUCCGGAAAUAUAUAUCCAUUGAUAUAUACACUAUAAAUUUAAUAUUAUUUUUGCAGCUAGUGCUACUAACACAUUUGGGGCUGCUUAGGCAGUCUUUAUACGUUCUCAUUCAACACACUACAAGAAAAAUGGCUAAAAGCAACCGUCAAAAUAUGGUUGCUUUUAGAUAAAAGCAACCGAAUCGGGUUGUUUUUGACUAAAAGCAACCGAAAACUCUCGGUAGCAAAUAAAGGGGUUGCUUUUCUUAUUUCCGGUUGCUUUUAUAUAAAAGCAACCGACUUACUGGUAGCUUUUGUUUAAUUUCAAAUUUGUCCAGAUUACUUAAUUUUUUGGUGAAAAUUUGAAUUUCCCGCUAAAACUAAAAAAAUUCUACCAUAAUCAGUAGCAUUUCAUAAGCCACCAUGGUUGUUUCCAGUUGCUUUUAUAUGGUAAUUUCAUAAAAAAAAAACNNNNNNNNNNNNNNNNNNNNNNNNNNNNNNNNNNNNNNNNNNNNNNNNNNNNNNNNNNNNNNNNNNNNNNNNNNNNNNNNNNNNNNNNNNNNNNNNNNNNNNNNNNNNNNNNNNNNNNNNNNNNNNNNNNNNNNNNNNNNNNNNNNNNNNNNNNNNNNNNNNNNNNNNNNNNNNNNNNNNNNNNNNNNNNNNNNNNNNNNNNNNNNNNNNNNNNNNNNNNNNNNNNNNNNNNNNNNNNNNNNNNNNNNNNNNNNNNNNNNNNNNNNNNNNNNNNNNNNNNNNNNNNNNNNNNNNNNNNNNNNNNNNNNNNNNNNNNNNNNNNNNNNNNNNNNNNNNNNNNNNNNNNNNNNNNNNNNNNNNNNNNNNNNNNNNNNNNNNNNNNNNNNNNNNNNNNNNNNNNNNNNNNNNNNNNNNNNNNNNNNNNNNNNNNNNNNNNNNNNNNNNNNNNNNNNNNNNNNNNNNNNNNNNNNNNNNNNNNNNNNNNNNNNNNNNNNNNNNNNNNNNNNNNNNNNNNNNNNNNNNNNNNNNNNNNNNNNNNNNNNNNNNNNNNNNNNNNNNNNNNNNNNNNNNNNNNNNNNNNNNNNNNNNNNNNNNNNNNNNNNNNNNNNNNNNNNNNNNNNNNNNNNNNNNNNNNNNNNNNNNNNNNNNNNNNNNNNNNNNNNNNNNNNNNNNNNNNNNNNNNNNNNNNNNNNNNNNNNNNNNNNNNNNNNNNNNNNNNNNNNNNNNNNNNNNNNNNAUUAGCUCUGUCCGGAAAAGCUUCAGUGGCUAGUUUCUCCAACAUUUUGCUAAGUUGGGUCCGAGGCACCUGAUUGUCAGCUAUAGAUUUGACCAUAUUUGUCACCUCUGAUAGCACCCUUCGGAUAAUUGAGUAUGCAUCUUCUGGAAUGAUGAAUUGAGAGGCCUGAGUAGAUUGAGCUGCAUUCAAUCUUGAUGCUUCACUACCUCCUAUCAAUUCUGAUAAGGUGUUUCGAGGGAACAAUAUAAGUUUAUUUUUUUUGGGUUUCCUGGCCUGCAUAAGAAGGUACAAAUCAUGUUUCCUUUUGCUCGCUGGAGAUUGAGGGGCCUCUGGGACUUCUUGAGGGUUAUUCACCUCCAUAGCUUCCUAUAUUACACGACAAAAAAUAAUGCAAACAUGUAUACUAGUAUUAUAUACAUAUAUAUAUAUGUGUGUGUGUGUGUGUGUGUGUAUAUGCAUCAUUAAAAUGAAUUGUAAGAAAAUAUACAACCAACCAUUAUAUUUUUCACAACUGGCUCCUCAAUAUUAUAGACAUGCUUGAAGAAUUCUAGAUUCGUCAUAGGAGUCUCCAACUUAGAAUCCAAUUUCUGUAAGAAGAAGUAAAAAAUAUUUAAGGUUAACAAAAAUAUUUAAGUAAAAAUAUUUGUUUUUUUUAAUAUGCUCCUUAAAAAAGAAUUGGUGCCUACAAUUUGAUAUAUUCUUUUGACACUAACAAUUCAAAUUCAAUUCCAGUGCUUAUUCAAAUAUGGAAAUGAUAUUAUUCUCAUAAGUUGUACCAUAUCAGGAGCACAAGUCCAGUGAAUGUAACAUUACAAAGUCGAGUGCUAAUACCAGCUGAUUACUUCAGACACGAGCAUUAUCAUAGACUUUAAAUUAAGAUAUGUAUUCCGCACAAUCAACACAUCAAGAACUAAGGUGGUCACAACAUUACAGAAUAUGAAUCUAACUGUCACAUUGUAACAUUCUCCGUAAUAUGAUCAUCACUAAUUUGUAACUUCCAGUUGCAUCAAGGACAGGAAAUUUAAAUGCAACAACCAGAAUCCACUUAAUAGCUAUGGCAACAACAACAAACAAAAAUAACAGCAAAGGUUGACGAAGGUUAACAAAAAUAUUUAAGUAAAAAACUAGAAGGCCAAUGGUGCCUCCUGAUUCUUUUAUCACAUUUCACUUCACUUUGGCAUAACAUCAGAAGAACUAACAUCCAGUUUCCCACAACAAAAGAGUAAUCAUACUGUUAAAAGAAAAGAGACUAAAAUAACUACAUACAAUAACUCCUAGGUAAAGCAGAGUUUUUCCAAAAUUUUGACCAAAAUUAGUUAAGCAUAUAGUACGACUUAAGUUCAAACUACAGACCAUACCAUUCCGAAUAUCACAAAUACUUAACAGCAGAGAAAAUCAAACUUAAUGGAGAAAUUUCACCAAAUAGAUAGGAACAUACCGCUCGCCUCACAGAAAAGGGAAUGGCCCCACUUUUGUGAUUCAUGUCUUUCUUGGCACAAUUUUUCUUCCCAUUUGCUGAAGCCUUGUGAAACUUUUCGGACUCCCAGUACUUGUUGAUGCUGUCCCAUACAGCAUCGUCAAAAUAAUGUGGAUUCAACAUACGUCUAGUGGCACGCAAGUAACCUAGACUCUUGGCUAUUUUAACCCUUUCAUCUGUUCGCUUCUUCUCCUUACUGAGGAUGCUCUUAAAGUUUGUAUGUAUAUGAUCUUUCACAUAUACAUCUCCAAUUGCAUCAUCACAAUCGUACUCAUAGUAAGCCUGCCAAACGACACGUAUUAUAUAUAUAUAUUCAAGAAUUAGUACAUAUAUAAUUAUGUGGACAUUAAGUACUAAGUCAGUAUUAAAUUACCCUAAAUUCUUCUGCACAACGAGCCAGAAAAAUCUCUCUCGUUUUUCCAGUUGAAUCCACUGUAUCUACAUCCCAUAAAGUUCGGACUAUAGCCAACAAUGUCUUUUUAUAGUGAGGCUCAACAAUACUGCAGUUAUUAAGUACACACAAAGAAAUUACAUUAGAAAAUAAAUAACAACAAUGUAAUAGUUCGAAUGAAAAAAUAGUUUUUACAAUACCAUCUGUCGACAAAGUGCACGGUACCAAGCUUGGGUCCUCCAUCUACUGGCCUUUUAUUAAAAUCACCUUUUGAAGUCUUGCGCUGAAGACUCUCAAUCAGCUUCCCUACAUCAUCAUCUAAGAAAUAGUCAAAAUCAUCUACAGCACCAUUGUCCAUAGGUGUCCCAGUUUCAUUAGCCCUCCCCCCAUCUCCUCCAUCUGUCCUAACAAUUUCAUUAUCCCUUCCCCUUCCCCUGGCCCCUCCCCUUCCCCUGGCCCCUCCCCGUCCCCGUCCCCUUCCCCUUCCCCUUCCACCGCUGCUAGUACUAGCCUGCAGAAAAUACAAUAAUGUGAUGUAAGGAUCACAUGAUUUGAAAAUACCAGGUUUUGAUGUAGCAAGAUUAUCAUAGAAAAUUUGGAGGAUAUUUGAGAAUUUCUGCAUUGUACUCAUGUAAAAGCGCCUAAAAGCGCCUAAAAAAGCGCCUAAAAAAGCCAGAAUAACAAUGCCACAGAUCUUUCAUCUUAGUGUACACACAUAUAAUAAUACAUAGCCCAUGAAUUUGAUCAGUACAAUAAUACAACAUCAGAUUUAACAGUAAAGCAUUCGAGUUCCCAUAUAAUUAGUGGUAACAAGAGGGUAGAGAAUGAGUCAUCUUUCUUAUUUUGCAGUGUUGUUAAAGGUCAGCUUCUAGUCAGCCUCCCUCUUGUUUAAGAUAAACUUUAAUAAUUAUAGUCACAAAUGUGCAAAUUAGUAUCAAGUAUCACUCAAUGCAACAUCUUACAACUGGUAAUAAAAGAAACAUGAAAGAAGUAUCAGGAAUUUGUAUCAUGAAAGAAGACCCAACAUAAACCACAAGCUCCAACACACUUCUCAAACCAACACACCCAAAAUUAGUAAAAGCACGAACAACAGAGUUGUACCAAAAACAGACGGCUGAGGACUUCUGUCAAACAGUUUGGCUGCAUAACUAACUUCACUGUCACUACCAUAUCACAAAUUAACAUAAUCACCAGAUAAUCACAUAACCCCUAAAACCCUAAUUAACAUAUCACAAAUCAAAGUCGCCAAACCCCUAAUUCCAAAUCCCAGAACCCCCAACUCCUAAUUAACACAAGUGAACACAAGCAUAAAAAAAGGGGAGAUUUGAGAUGCGAAAAUAAAACGAGUUGAAAGAGAGUCGACCUGCAGAGAUGCGAGCAUAUUCGACUUGUUGAGUUGAGAGAUUUUAGAGCUUUUAGAUGCCAUGGAUCUGCUGAGCUUUCGGAUUUGAGGGAUUUGAGCUGCUGCUGUGAUUCGCGCGAGUAGAUGAAAAUAAAAGAGAGAGAAUAAAGAAAAAGAGAUAAGUGAGGGAAAGUGAAGUGGGAUUGGGAAAGUGAAAAAACCGCGGCUCAUAUGCGUGGGAACGAGAAAAAGUAAAUAUAUUUUUAUUAUUACAUAAGUAUAAAAGCGACCAAACAUGGCGGUUGCUUUUAACCCUUCUAGAUUUUCAAUCACAAAUAGCUACUGCCACUAAGAAAUUGUUAGAUUGGUUGAGGUUAAAAGCAACUGGAUUUGAGCGGUUGCUUUUAACCCUUCUAGAUUUUCAAUCACAAAUAGCUACUGCCACUAAGAAAUUGUUAGAUUGGUUGAGGUUAAAAGCAACUGGAUUUGAGCGGUUGCUUUUAACCGUGCUAGAAUUCCUAGUUUCAAAUACUACUGCAACAAUCCCUGUUUUUAACAAUAUAAUUAAACAACACAAAAAAAUCUAUAUUAUUUAUAAUAAACAUCAUAUUAUGACACAACAAAUUAUAAUAAUUGUACUACAUAAAUUCAAAUAAUAUAAUUUUAAAUAUUACACAAAUAAAUUAUGGCAUAUCAUCAUCAUCAUCAUCCUCAUCAUCACGAUCACUUUGUUCAUCAACACUCAUGUCUUCAUCGGUAUUUUGUUCAAUAUCCUCGUUCAUAGAAUUGUCAUAUUCAAAAUUCCUCAAAUCAAUAAAAAAAUUGGAGGGAUCAUGAAUAGUAACUCUUUCGACGUGUGAUGAUGAAGCAUUUGAGACUUCAUUUUGUAAAACAUCAUCCUCGCAUCUAUUUUUUCCGGUGGAUGACACAAUUUCAUUAAUUUGCCGACUCUUUGUUGGCAGAACAUUGUACCAAGAUGACUUUGGAUUUGUAAUAUUAGGUGCAUAAUAUACUUGAUGAGCUUGACUGGCCAACACGAAUACAUCUUCAGCUUUCAACUUUGAUUUGAUGUCUAUCGUGGUAAUUCGAUUGCUAUCCACUUUAACAUGUGUUGUGUGAUCAAACCAAUGACAUUUGAAUAAGAUAACAUGACGACCAUUGUGAUAGUAGAGGUCAAGAACUUCUUGUAGUCGUCCGUAGUAAUUUCCAAGACUUUCUUUGUAAGAAGUUCCUACAAUUGAAAUAUUAUAAAGUUAUACAUAUACUUUUUAUAAGAAUAAUUUAAUGUAUACUUCUAGGACAUCUUUUAAAUCUCACCAAUGACAAGUACUCCGGAAUUUGAAGAUGUUCGUUCAGUGAGAUUCCCACAAUCAAAUUUAAAACCAUUACACUUACAACCUUUAUAAGAUUGCACUUCAUGUGACGGUCCUUUUAUUAAAUCCUUGAAUUUGGUUUUAAGCUCUAUAUCAUCAUUCACCUGAAUUAUAUAGAAACGAAGUAUAUAUAUAUAUAUAUAUUUUUUAUAUAUAUAAUUGUGUCAAUAAAAAUACAAGCAAGUAAGAAAAAUAUUAUAUAAGAAUAAAGUAUGUACACACACAUACCCUUCUUUCAAACCAACUUGCAAAUAGUUCUUUUUGUUUAUCUUCUCUUUGUGCAUCAUCAAAUUGCGGGUGAUGUUGGCGCACUAAUUUUUGAAACUCACUACAUGUGAAAGAUAUACUAUUUAAAAUUCAUAAAAAAAAAGAAAUAUGUUAAAUUCUAUUGAUAAAUAAAAUGGAGAAUAUUUUACCAUAAGUAUUUUGCAACCUCCGGUGAAUUGAUGAGGACAUAAUAUUUCACGAGUCUAUGCUCACUACUACUCAAAAGUCUACACCCGGUUCGUAGUAUAGGUUGUGCCGGAUAUGUGUAAACCUCCAACAACUUCGGAUCAUGAAAAACUCUAGGUACCUCAUUUCGACGAAGCCGAGUGUGCACUGUUUCAGCUAUGUCUUCAAAAUACAACUCACAAAAGUGUACAAUUUCCUCCUCAAUGUAGCGUUCUGCCAUUGAACCUUCUGCUCGUGCUUUAUUUCUUACUUUCAAUUUCAAGUCAUGCAAGUAUCUUUCAAUGAAAUACAUCCAUCUAAAAUAUGAUGGACCGCCUAAUUUACAUUCAGUAGCCAAAUGUAGCGGGAGAUGCUCCAUCGAAUCAAAAAACCCUGGAAUAAAGAUUGUUUCAAGUUUAGACAUUAUUUUCGCUAUAUCUUUUUCCAUCUUCUCGAGAUCCGUGUAUUUUAAAUUUAUAGAGCAUAGGUCUUGAAAGAAGUUUGACAACUCAAUAAGAACAUCCGCUACAUUCUUUGGUAGCAAGUCCCGACAAACUAUAGGCAACAACUUUUGCAUGAAAACGUGGCAGUCAUGAGAUUUCAUCCCACGAAUACAUCUUUUUUCCAUAUUCACACAUCGAGAUAUAUUUGAGACAUAUCCAUCCGGAAGAUUCAAACCUUUUAUCCAUUGGAAUAGCUUAUUAACUUGAUCUCUCGUAAGCACAUAUGGCGCAGCUGGCUUUGUGCCAUCAUCUCGAAUCCACAAGUCACGAUGUACACCUAGUUCUUUACAAUCAUAUCUCGAUUUUAAGGUGUCUUUGGACUUCUUUUUGUCGUCAAGCAUUGUGUAAAAUAUAUUGUCAAAGACAUUUUUCUCAGUAUGCAUGACAUCUAUGUUGUGACGCAACCUCAAAGUCUCCCAAUAUGGAAGCUCAUAAAAUGGAGAACUGUGAGUCCAAUUAUGCGUCACACCAUAAUCUCUUGGCUUUUGCCUAGUUGUUUUUCCUGGAGGAGGAAAUUGAAUUUGUUCACAAUUUGUCUUUGCUAUUAAUCCCGAAUAUCGAGUUGUGGAUGAAUGUUUAUCACAUCUUCCAAACUUUGUGCUCCUUCUUAGUGGAUCAUCUUCUUCUAAAAAAUAUCGAGCUGUGCCAUAGAAUGUAGGCUUACCACCAUACUUGAGUUGCUUUGCUUUUACUUCUCCCAUGCAUACUGGACAUGCCAACUUGCCCUUGGUCGACCAUCCACUAAUCAUACCAAGUGCUGGAAAGUCGUUGAUUGUCCACAUCAAGGCUACUCUCAUCAUGAAAUUUGAACGUGAUGCCCUAUCAUAUGUUUCAACCCCUGUAUGCCAUAAAAUUUUCAAUUCAUCUAUUAGUGGUCGAAGAUAAACAUGAAAGUCUUUUGUUGGAUCACUCGGUCCAGGAAUGAGAAGAGGCAUAAACAUGUAUGGAGCUUUCGUGCACAUGGAUGGUGGAAGAUUAUAAACAACAACAAUCACAGGCCACACAGUAUAUUCCCUUGCGUGUGCAUCACGAAAGGGGUCAAAACCAUCACUAGCAAGGCCUAUCCUAACAUUCCGUAUUUCCUUUGCAAAUCUAGGAAAUCUACGAUCAAAUUGUUUCCAUUCAUCUCCAUCAGCCGGGUGACUUAAUUGAUCUUCAACUACAACUCUAUCAUGAUGCCACGUCAUACACUUUGCAGUCUUCUCAGACAUGAAUAACCGUUGUAGUCUCAAUGUAAGAGGAAAGUAUCUUAAGAUCUUUUGAGGGAUCAUCUUUUUCUUAUGAUCUUUUUGAGCUUUGUACCGACUUUCAUUACAUAUGUCACAAUAUAUUUUCUCACUAUCCUCUUUGUAGAACAACAUGCAAUCAUUCACACAAGCAUCAAUUUUUUGAUAUCCCAUGUUCAAACCACUUACCAAUUUCUUCACAUCAUAGUAUCUCGUGGGCAAAUUGUGAUCAUUCGGCAACACUGAUCCAAUAAGUUGAAGUAACUCAUCAAAACCUUUAUUACUACAACCAUGUUUGUGUUUAAACUGGAGUAGUUUAUUCACAAAUGAUAAUGUUGUAAACCUCGUAUUAUCUGGAUAAAUGGGUUGAGAAGCACUAUCAAGCAUCUUAUAAAAAUUUUUUGCUGCUGCAUUCGGUUCUUCAUCAUUCUCGAAAUGUCCGGUUGCAUUCACAAAAUCGUCAAGCAUUUCUCGUGCAUCAUAAAAAUCAUCUGUGCAACCAACAUUUCUUGAACUCGUCCCGAUGUUCACCCGUGAUCUAUCACCCUCCCCGUGAAAAUACCAUAUUGUAUAUCCCGGCAUAAUACCAUGACGAUACAAAUCCAAUGUCACAUCAUCGGGAUAUUUAUGAUAAUAAUUCCCACAUUCUAUACAUGGGCAUCUUAUUCUCCCCUUUGAAUCAUCAGUUCGCGCAAUAGCAAAUUUAAUGAAAUUAUCAAUUCCAAUCUUGUACUCAUUUGUUAUUCUUUUACUCGAAUCAAACCGGUGAUUCAUCCAACUACGAUCAGAUGCCAUCUACAAGUGCAAAUAUACAUUUUUUAAUUAUUCCACUUAAGAUUAUCUAGAGAAACAAUUAAAAUUAGCAACUAAUUAUUUUCAAUUUUCUCUAUAACAAUUCACAUCUAAUUAGCAAGUAAUUUCUAAUUAUACAAGAAACAAACAACAAGCAACAUAAAAGAAAAGAGAAAUAACACUUACUUUAAACUUAGUUGAUGUAUGAGCUUGGCAGAAGGAGAUAAAAUGGUGGAGAAGAGAUUAAAUAUGUGGGGGAAGAGGAAGGAGAAAUAGUGGAUGAGAAGGGAUGCUACGGGAUGAGAAGAGAUAAGGUUUGGGGUUUAAAAUCUCCAAAUAAAAGCAACUGACCAGUUUUGGUUGCUUUUAUAAAAGCAACCGGUUUUGGUUGCUUUUAUAAAAGCAACCGGUUUCGGCGGCCUUUAUAAAAGCAACCGAUUGCGGUUGCUAUUAUUUACAGAAUUUUCGGAUGCCCUGCGCGGGAAUUUUCGCGCCUACGCAUACACAACUUAAAAGCAACCACAAGAAACCACCGGUUGCUUUUAUAAUUAAAAGCAACCACUUAAAAGCGACCGUAUAUAAAAGCAACUAAACAAAAGCAACCGACUGUAAAAGCAACCGAUCCUGGUUUCUUUUAUACUUUAAUUUGUAAAACUAGGAAACUUAACAGUAUAAAAGUAUAUAGAUAAUAGUUUUUGUAAUUGUUUUACCAAUUUUAAAUGAUACAUCUGUCUGCACUCGGUGGAUCCAGAAAUUUACAGACAAGCUAUUUCAUUUAUAAUUUUAAAAAAAAGUUACAAGUGUUAUAUAGUCUCAGAAUAUAAGAUCAUGUAUAAAGUCUUAUUAAAUUAUGACUAAUCUCCACCUUGAUAAUUGAAUUCUUGUGAGAAAUUAGUGUGUACAGAUGACUGAUUCAAAAUUAAAGGACAGUUUAUUGAUAAUGCAAAAUAUUGUUUUGGUUUUAAUGGUCGUGUUUUAUUGGUUCAUCAAUAUAAACUGCCUUGUAGUAGUUGCUGCCAUUAGGGGAAUUGCCAUGUCGCGCUGCCCCAAUCCCACCAGCCAGAAGUAUUAAUCAGAAUUAGAGGAGAGUUUACUGAUUCGUUAUAUUAAUGUUUACUGUUGUGAUCAUAUAUUUGCAAAAUUUUCACAUACCUUGUGAUCAUUCUUUAUUGCUUACAUGUCUUUUCAAUUUUAAGAAGCAGGAGUAAGUUUAUUAGUUUCUUAUAUUUGCUUAUUCUUGAAUAGUUGGACUUUUAUUUCCACUAGCUUUUUGCCCGUGCUUCGCACACGGAAAUUGUUUAUGUUUCAUUUAAUUUUUUUAAAUUUCAACCGGUUUUCGAUGAUGAUAAAAAAAUAUAUCACUGACAGAUAUUACGAUUAGAAAUUACUUUUCAUAAUAACUUGUAGAUAAUUAAUAUUUAAACGGGUAUCACAUAAUAAAUUCAUUUAUGUUUAUAUUUUAUUUCUUUUUUUAUAUUUAUAUUUUUGUGUGUUCACCUUUUUAUGUACAAUAACUUUUUAAUUCUAUAAAAACAUUUAUAUUUAUUAUAUCUUUUUUUUGUUCAAAAUAAUAUAUGUUUCCUUCUUAGGAAUUAUUUUUGUCUGGCCUAUUUGAGUCUUUUGUAUACCUUUUUGUUCAGAAUUUUUAGUUUUCUUUCUCAUUUUUAUAUUCUAUACUAUUUGUUUCUAUGAUUUAUUCUUUUUUUCUUUAAUUUUUGUGCUCCUUAAGUCCUUAUACUUCUUAUAUUCUUGAAAUAUUUAUUUUCUAAUUUGUUUAAUAUUAUGUUCAUCUCCUAUAAUUUCAAUUGCUUAAUAAAAUUUUAAUAAAAAUGUAUUAGAUUCAUAAUUUCCUUGAAAAAGUAAUAUUAUUUUAUUUAGUGAUUUAAAAUAUUUAUUAAAAUUCCUCCGUUCACCCUUUAGAUAAAAUUGUGGAAACAAUUAAUAUUUAAUUAAUAAAAUAAAAAAGUGGAUAAAAGUAUUGAGUGAUUAGUAUUUAUAUCAUAAAAUGGCACUAAAAUUUUGAAAGAUAACAGAGAGCCAACAUUCAAACAGGAAACUUGAUAGAAUGAAUGGAGUAUUAAUAAAUUUAACCAACAAUACUUUUGCAACUUUUACACUUUUUCCUUUGCUACUGCAACAGCAAAAAAUGAGACCACCAGUAGCAUAAACCAAAAUCUCGCAAAACAGCAUAAUUGUCUGUCCAAACUCUGCCUUGUGCAACUUCCUCCACUUUAACCAUCCACUCGAAGAAUGAUAAGAAACUUAGAAGUGUCCCAAUUAUUACAUAUAUGCAGUGUCCCAAUUAUUACAUAUAUGCAGUUCACCUUCAUACUGUCAUUGAUCUUGAAUGAGCUUCCUUGUCAUGAAAUCACUUGUAUGCAUUCUGAGCAAUCCUAGCAAAUAAUUCCGCUUCCUAUGUCCUGCAAGCUAAAUAAAUAUGUCAUUUUUUAUUUAAUCAAAGUGGAAAGAAAACAAAAUAUACAUACAUAUGAAAGUGAUAUAGUCCCCCCAGAUUAAACAAUCUGGCCUAAAUGAAUUACAUAUUUAAAAAAAUAUAUAUCAAAUUGGUUUCUUGAAUCUCUCAACAAAGAAUUAGGCCUUGUCCCUUCUCAGCUUACAACCAAAUGGAGUAUGCUUUUGACCAGAUUAUGUUACAUACAAACAUAUUAUCAUUACAGAUGGAACAUAGGAAAAAAUAUUAUAAAACAUCAUAUAUCUCAGAAAAUUUCACCCGAAAAUGAUACACAAUCAACUUGACAUGCCGUAGUACCUUGAGAGCAUAUCCCUAUAAUAUAAAGAUUCAUUGCAAUUACCAUAACAAUGAAAGGUUGAUGACAUCCUAAUUAAAGGAGAAACAACAACUAAUCUGACAAAUGAACAUUGUUAAUUCACAUUUAUGCUAGAGUGAAGGUUGUGUUCCUGGAAUUUGUUUGGAAAUACCUUAUAAAAGAAUAUAGCCUGUGUACAAAUAAGAAUAUUGCAGUGCAGACAAAGGUUUAAGCAAUACCUUUCUAAAAUUAUUUGAAAAAUUUUUGUCUGCGUAUACUCAUUUGGUGUGCCUCCUAUAUGAUAAUAGCCAAGAUUUAUGAUGUUAAAUGCCUGACACAUCAAAGCUAUUUAACCUCCUCUAACAUGGUGUCACAUCUGAACAAAAUGCCAGUGUUCAAUAUCUAUAGGAUUUGAAUUUGGAUUCCUAUUCUCAUUAGUAACAGCAGGCAAAUUCGAAAUGUGCACGCCGAAGUUUAAACUUGUGAUUCUUAUAAGCGUUAACAUGCCCACCACUGAAGCCACUUGAAGAUCCUGCUCGACAUUUAGAGACUGUAAAAUGGAAGGCGAAAAGAAAUCAAGAGCAGUAGUUAUUUGAUAAACAGAUUCUGAAAGAACAAAUUUGGUUUACUAUUAUUUGGCCGAGGAAAGAGACAACGGACGGAGUGGAGCUCAUUUCCUCCCUGCAAAUUUGAAAGAUUAGUUAAUAGCAGGAUAGUGGAACAACCUGGUGUGCGAAUACAGUGCAUCAAAAAUUGAAGAAAGCAAUGUGACAUGUCCAUGAAGUAAUUUUGACGUGCGUGGAGUUCAGUCUACACACAAAAAAAAAAGCUUGGAAAUGGGGUAUAAUGGAAUACAGUGUCAUCACAGACAUAGACAUGAUCUUCAUAUCAUGUCUCCGUAAAUCAAAGAGUUCAAAUUUAAAAAAAGUGAAAACAUGACAGAGAUAGGAGACAAAUUAGGGAGUUGAAGGAAAUCAAUUUCCAAAGUCACGUGGAAUACAUAUAUAAUGCAAACAUGGGUAAUUUUUGGAAUCAUUUGCUAAGACAUAUCAGUGAUACAAAUAUUUAAGACCGUGAAUAAUCAAGUGAAGAAAAAAUAUUGAAAAACAAACACGUAUACGUGCUCAUGGGAUCUGAUCGAGCAUUCCUGCUUCUAACGAAAACAGGACAAAGGAGGCUUACCAGACAAAAACACGUAUAAUAAUGACUGUAAAGAAGAUCGCGUAUAGUAGGCAUACCAUUACUCCCAGAAGGAGGAGACGGAGGACCGAUUGGAGUGCGUUCAUUGCCUGCAAAAUAUGACUAUCAGGGACGCCACCGGAAUGUUUUGUAACCGAGUAUAGGAUUGAAAGGUGUCAAAAUCAGGCCUCCACGAAUCUAAGGAAUUUGAAAUUCAAAACUGAUGAGAAGAUAAUAGUCUUGUGAGUGAAAGGAGGCAGUUUGAGACAAAUCCGUUGAAAAAGACGUGUUUUCUUAAAAUUGCUAUAACCCGCUAGGUCACGGAUAAUCCAACUCAAGCACUAAAAAUAACUGAAAAGGAUAUAAGUUCGACCCGUUUAUAGAUGGAUGAUCCAAGGAUAAGUAAAAUGUCCAAAUUGUACAUGUAGGCUAAUAGUAAGAAAAAAAAAAGGAAGGGCAGGAUUAGUCAUUUGGAAGAGGAGGAAGAAAACCCAAUGCUAGCACAAUUUUAGAAUAUAUUGAUACAUGCUGCUGUCAAAAAAGCUGUUCAGUGCCUUGUUGUGGUUGCUUGGUCAGUCACUUUGGCCGCUUAUAUCCGUGUUACACUCAGAGGUGUCAAAUGAGUGUCUAAUGUAAUUAUUUAAUAUAAUUUAAUUAUUAUUUUCAGGUUAGAGCCUUCAUGUAGAUGCUCGCGAGUUAUCACAGAUUCUAUAUCUGAGAGGCGGGAUCCUGAUGGAUUCACUUGGAAGGCAGUAUCCAAGGAGGAGAAAGCAGAUGGAAUAGAUGAAGAGCCAACUUGCUACGGUGCUUAAUAAUCAGAAUGGAAGUUAAAUAUUAGUGUAAAAGACUAGCUGCCUUUUAUUUAUGUAUUAAGUUUGUAUGACUUGUGAAUUAUAACUUGGAUGCUACUUUUGCUUGUAAAUCUAUGUCAUUUUUCUUUAUUUAAUUUAGUAAUUUAAUUUACUUAUUUUAUUAAGUGUAUAAUAUAGGAAUCUUGAACGGAUUUAAAUGUACCAAUAUAAUUUUUUUUAAAAAAAAUUGAAUUUUGCC